UACGUAGGGCGCAAGCGUUGUCCGGAAUUAUUGGGCGUAAAGAGCUCGUAGGCGGUCUGUCGCGUCGGAUGUGAAAGCCCGGAGCUUAACCCCGGGUCUGCAUUCGAUACGGGCAGACUAGAGUGUGGUAGGGGAGAUCGGAAUUCCUGGUGUAGCGGUGAAAUGCGCAGAUAUCAGGAGGAACACCGGUGGCGAAGGCGGAUCUCUGGGCCAUUACUGACGCUGAGGAGCGAAAGCGUGGGGAGCGAACAGG
rnacentral:rRNA from 1 species